rnacentral:antisense_RNA from 1 species
GGGUGCUUGAGGCUGUCUGUCUCAGGCAUUAGCUGAACGGCAGAUAGAGAAAAGCCCCGAGUGAUAUUUUACUAUCAACCUGUACUGCACCCAUUUUGUUGGACGAUGAAAUGGAAUAGCCCCUAAUAUGUCAAAGCCAAAAUACCCUUUUGAAAAG